GGUCUCCUUGGUGGAAACCCAGAAGGACUUGGUGACUGAAUAGUGAACUGUGGCUUAGGUUUCACAAGGGAACGACAGUUUCACACAGCAUCCAGAUGCGGCGAGGUGACGAGAGGGCGAUGCAGUACUCGGGGCAAUCCGGGGGUCACAUUAAAAAUUUGUCAAUCGCUUUUCAACAUAAUAUCUCCGCGGACUAUCAACCAAAAGGACCGGGGUUCAAAUUUCACCAAACAUUCGCGUCCCUUGGCAAGGUCAUCAUAAUUUUGAUCUUUGGCCACAAUCCGAGAACCCUAGGAACCAGCCCAUGAUGACUUCAUUUUCUACUUCACAUCACGAACGGGUCGCUAUUAUUGAUUUAAUACGGUCGAUAGUUAAUUAGGCUGAUUAAAACAAACCCAUUACAUUUCCAGCGGACAGAAUUACAAGUGUAAGAGAGAAAAAUUGUUUUCAUUCAAUAUACGAUCCGAUGAAUCAUAGACAAUUAUACGGCAUCAAUCGCCAGACACCAUAAAUAUCACCCGGGAAUCAUGGGAAUACAUACAGUUAGGUACCGGACACAUCUAAUCUCAAUGUAAAUUAACAGUAGACCUACCAUCACGACCAUAAAAUCGUUAUCAAUUAAUAUGAAUCCUUUUUAUAUUAUUUCUCUUUUACAAUCUGACUAAACAAAGCAUAUUUUCAAUAUUUGAAUUGACCGGCAUCCUGAUCUGUCUCCGAAGUUUGUUAUUGGAGUCUGGGAAUUAUUGGUAGGCCUAUUAAUUUAAUCACGUGAUUCAGACUAGAUUGACCAACCGGAAACGCGUUAUUUAAUCUCAGUAAUAUUAUGGUUGGCCGUUCAUGGCAAUAUUUUUUUUCUUGAAUCAUACACGUGAAUGACAUAUGGUUCCUUCUUGAUGUGCCAUGUAGUAACUUAACUCUAAUUUGGUAACUUAUGUAGAAAUUUAACUCUAAAAUUUUGAUCAUUGUUGAAAUAGUAUGUUAAAAAUAUUGGAAAUAAAAUUUCAUG